AUUGAACGCUGGCGGCAGGCCUAACACAUGCAGGUCGAGCGGUAGAGAGAAGCUUGCUUCUCUUGAGAGCGGCGGACGGGUGAGUAAUGCCUAGGAAUCUGCCUGGUAGUGGGGGAUAACGCUCGGAAACGGACGCUAAUACCGCAUACGUCCUACGGGAGAAAGCAGGGGACCUUCGGGCCUUGCGCUAUCAGAUGAGCCUAGGUCGGAUUAGCUAGUUGGUGAGGUAAUGGCUCACCAAGGCGACGAUCCGUAACUGGUCUGAGAGGAUGAUCAGUCACACUGGAACUGAGACACGGUCCAGACUCCUACGGGAGGCAGCAGUGGGGAAUAUUGGACAAUGGGCGAAAGCCUGAUCCAGCCAUGCCGCGUGUGUGAAGAAGGUCUUCGGAUUGUAAAGCACUUUAAGUUGGGAGGAAGGGCAUUAACCUAAUACGUUGGUGUCUUGACGUACCGAC
rnacentral:rRNA from 1 species